ensembl:lncRNA
ACAAUUACUGGGGAAAAUAUUACCAGUAGAACAACAUCAUAAUUUUUAUCCCUGCAGAUGCAAGGUAAUAACUGAACAAGUUAGAUAAUGUGAGCUCAAAAAGUGAAAAUGUUUUUAUUUUAAAAUUUUAUACCUAUACUUUAUAGUAUUUCACCAGUGGGAGACAAAGCUUCUAUUUUAAAUCAGGUAAUGUGAGUUCUAUACCAAAAUGAAAUGAAAUUGGUGAGACUUGCAAUUUUACAAUAUCUAUAGUUGGCCAAACAUUCCAAGAAAUUAUAAAGCAAAUUAUUUAAUGUUUUACUUUUACUCAGAAUGGAGAUAAAAAUAUGUCCUGUGUAGAUAUUUAGGCUGACAUAUAUUUACACAUUGGAAUAUAGGAUAAUAAAAUUGAGAAUAACCUCAAUUUAGUGGAAUUUGCUGAGGCUCACAGGUACUAUAGCACCUGUAGAUAGUGCAUUUUCCUUUUUAUCCUUUUUUUAAUGACCACACCUACAGCAUAUGGAUUCCCAGGCAGGGAUCAGAUCCUCAGAGCUGCAGCUGAGGCCUGCACCAGAAGCCUGGCAACACUGGAUCCAAGCUGCAUCUGCGAACCUAUGCCACAGUUUGUGGCAAUGCAGGAUCCUUAAUCCACUGAGCUAGGCCAGGGAUUGAACCCAUAUCCUCACAGGGUCUAUGAUGGGUCCUUACCGCACUGAGCCACAAUAGGAACUCUGAGAGUGUGUUUUCUCAGUUAAUAUUAUAUACCAGAGAUACUGACAGGUGAAGGUGUCAGAAGUUCAUACUUAUUAAUCAUAAAAUAAAACCUUGAAGAAUAUUAUAGGCAGUGUUAUGAAAUUAAUAAAAAUAUUAGAAUCCAGUUUAUUAAGAAACUGAUAAGGUAGCACUGGAAACUAUGUCUAGUCACUUAUGAUGGAGCAUGAUAAUGUAAAAAAAAAGAAUGUAUACAUAUAUGUGUAACUGGGUCACCUUGUACAGUAGAAAAUUGACAGAACAUUGUAAAUCAGCUAUCAUGGAAAAAAUAAAAAUCAUUGUAAAAAAGAUAUUAGGAAAAUUAUUCUGCUUAUCUUAAUGUUAAUGAUUUUAAAUGAAUCAAAUUUGGAUAAUCAACCAACCAUAAUGGAAAAAAUAAAAAUCAUUAAUUAAAAAAAUAAAAAAAUUUGGAUGAUCAAUGUGUUGGGAACUCUAAAUAUAAAACUCUUGGCGUAUAAUGAGCACUCACAUGUUAGCUGUCAUUAUAACUAUUAUCAAUAUUCUUAUUAUAUUUUCAUUGAUUUUUCUGUCUAGUUCUUUACCAAUCCCGUGCUGUUUUAGUUAUAUGGCUUUAUAAUAUGUUUAAUAGUAAAUGUUUCAUAUCCUAAUUAUACUUGAAAAUUUUAUUUUUGCUUUUUUCAAUUUUUCUGAGAUGUCUUGAAUUUUUUUACAAUAAUUUUCUUUGUCAUUUUGGUUGAAAUUCAGAAUAAGUUGUUGCAAAAUAAUUGAUAUGUUUUCUAUCUAGGUAGGAAAAUAGGGGGUUUUUUGUCCUUUUUUUUUUUUGUCUUUUGUCUUUUGAGUGCCCCACCUGUGGCAUAUGGAGGUUCCCAGGCUAGGGGUCAAAUCAGAGCUGUAGCCACUGGCCUACGCCAGAGCCACAGCAACACGGAAUCCGAGCCGCGUCUGCAACCUACACCACAGCUCAUGGCAACGCCGGAUCGUUAACCCACUGAGCAAGGGCAGGGACCGAACCCGCAACCUCAUGGUUCCUAGUCGGAUUCGUUAACCACUGCGCCACGACGGGAACUCCAUGAAUGCUGAGUAUUUUUUAACACUUCUGAGAUGGAAUGGUUUAGAGGUAGUAUAUUAGAUAGGACUAAACAAUAUGUGAAAACUUCAGGGGAUAUGCUUUAGUAGUAUAUUCUUUGAAUUCCUGCCAUCUGAAUUAUAGUAGAAACCCAGUCAUUGAUGCUAAAGAUCAAAAGAUUUAAGGGUUUUAUGUCUGAGACAGUUUCAUUGUAUCACAAUUUAUAUUCAGCUUCGCAUAUGUAGCAGUGAUUCCUUCUCUGUUUUUUCACAUUUCCCCCUAAAACAAUUCUAAUUGAUUUCUGAAUGGAAAUGCAAAAUUUCAUUUAAACCAAUAACUAAAGAUAGAACAUUUGUUUUUUAUGUCAGAAAUGUGUAUAUUGAAUCUAAACUAUAAAUUGAGGAUCCUGGAAACAUUAUGUAUGUGAAGUGUGGCUGUAACCUUUGUCAUCUUUCUGUCCAGGCCACUGCCAUAUUUUUUACUUUGGUUUCUGUUCAGUUUCUAAUGUUUUCUUUUGACCAGGGAAACGCCACUCACCAAAGAGGAAAAUAAUUCUUUACGCCCUACCCUUGUAUUUGAGUAAUUCCAGUAGUAUUUUUGGGGAAAGAUAGUUAUAUGUUGUUGUGUUCAGAAUCAACAAAUAAAAAUAUACUAUAAUUUAUGUAAUUUUGUUUUAUAGCACACUUUACUCUUAUAAAUGUCUUGACGUUUUAUAGAAUGUUGUCGUGGAUCAAGCCUGAUAGUUUUACGCCGUAGCAAUUGUUUCCUUUGGAAAAAUUUAUUUUUGCUUCUUUGAGAGUUUAAGCUAGAACAUGUAUGCCAAACUCAACACUGAAGCUAUCCAUUUCAGGCAUUAUUCUUCUCAGAAUCUCAUUCUGAAGUGCAUAUUUAUUAGAGAAACCAGCUUUCUCAGUGUUUGUUGGUAGUAUUUUUGAAAUGAGGAUGAAUUUUUGUGUCUCUAGUUAUAUAACAUGUCCCUGCAGAAAAAACCCAAAGUUCUAAAGUCUGGGAGGAAACAAACUACAAUGGCAAUUCAUCUUGUCUAUUCAGGAACUGCAAAAAGUAUAUUCUGUUGGGGGGGGCGGGGGGGUGUCUUGAAUUGAUAGUUGCAUAGUAAGCCUGCUGUUUUUAUCUCUGCUGUGUGCUAAAGAGUGGUAAAAAUAUGGUGAAUACAGAGAACUAGAAAAAUCACUUCUUUUCCUGGUCUUUGAAUGUAUGACCUGAUCUGGGACUGAUCGUUAUAAUUUGAACCAAAAAUCCAAGCUGGAGAUGAAUAAAUUUGGACUCUAUAUACCCAUUACUAGCAAACUUUAGAUUUAUAGAAGCUGAAUCUGUUUUCCUCUCUUCCUAAUAGUUUUCUUACUUUCACAAACUAAGUUGCCAAACACUAUGGUUUUGCUUUCUAUUCACUGAAUAUUAAUUUAUUUAAAAAAAUACAUGAAAGACACAGAUAGAACUUCUGUGCCUGUCAUUGUUUUAGAAAUAUUAACUCACGGAGUUCCUGUCGUGGCUCAGUGGUUAACAAAUCCGACUAGGAACCAUGAGGUUGUGUGUUUGAUCCCUGGCCUUGCUCAGUGGGUUGAGGAUCCAGUGUUGCCCUGAGCUGUGGUGUAGGUCACAGAUAUGGCUUGGAUCUGGCAUUGCUGUGGUUGUGGCAUAGGCCAGCAGCUGUAGCUCCAAUUAGACCCCUAGCCUGGGAACCUCCAUAUGCCAUGGAAGCGGCCCUAGAAAAGGCGCAAAGACAAAAAAAAAAAAAGAAAAA